GACGGAGGGUGCUAGCGUUGUUCGGAAUCACUGGGCGUAAAGGGCGCGUAGGCGGCCUUGCAAGUCGGUUGGUGAAAGCCCGGGCUCAACCCCGGAGGUGCGGCCGAGACUGCAGGCUGGAGGCCGGAAGAGGAGGGUGGAAUACCCAGUGUAGAGGUGAAAUUCGUAGAUAUUGGGUGGAACACCGGUGGCGAAAGCGGCUCUCUGGUCCGGACCUGACGCUGAGGCGCGAAAGCGUGGGGAGCAAACAGG
rnacentral:rRNA from 1 species